CUUAGCGACAGUGUCAUGGCAGCUCCCUGAGGCAGGAAAGUAGCACAUGUGUGUCGGUGAGUGCGCUCAGUUUAAAGGCUUGAACUGCGUUCGUGCUUUAAAUAGAAUAGUUUUGUUAUUGUGGGUGAACGUGACAAAUAUUUGAUAUUUUACCUAAUUCCUGUGUAGUUGUCUUAGUCGUUUGGCAUUAAUCGGUCUUUGAAUACCGCCGAUAAGUGACAGUAUUGUGCUAGGUAUGUGACAUUUCUUACAUACAUGCCAACAUUGCCCAGUGUAAAAUGACGACUCAUGCUUUCGAGGCGAUAUCAUUAUUUUUAAAACAACUUCCUGAAAUAUCCAUAUUUUUUUUUUUUUUUGCAGAAUCCAAGACAUCAACAGAUCACCUACAUCUCUCACCAUUCUGUGACAGUCAGAUAUGUGUUAAUCAGUUCCAAACUUCAAAUUUGCCUUGUAUGUAAACCUCAGGAUGGAGAGUGCCCAAUCAUGUGAUAUAUAUAUAUAUAUACCUCGUAUAUAUCAACUUUGUUUAUGUUAUGGUGCUUAAUAAAGCCGAAUUGCAAUUCUGUCAUUGUGUUUUUAAGUACGUCUGUCAAACCAUAUACACAAUGUACAAUGUCAGGAAAAUAAGUUAUGUGAAGAAACUUAAAAUUCAUUAUUUGUAAAAUUGACUAAAUAUGAAUAUACCUGGUCCUAAAAGCUGACUUUCUCUGAAUGAGAAAUAUUUGGUCAUAAACCCACUUUACUAGGUUUCCUGUGGCUAAUAAAAGCUAGAUAUGUAUUAAGUAUGUGGUUAAAAUAUAACUUUGAGUUACUGUUGGCAUGUAUGUAAAAUGUUUAAGAACCUUCUACUGUAUACCAUAUGCAUUUGUUUUGGGGAGUUUUAUUUACCAAACAUUGGGUUUAUUUAACAAAUGAUGUGCAAAAGAUGAGUAAUAGAGAUUAUUCCCCCCAAUGGUUUUCUAAUUGGGCCUGAUUUUUGCAAGCUAGUGUGUAUGUGUGUGUGUGUAUAUAUAUUUUCUUCAAUAACUCAUCGAUAAAUAAUUGACUCUGUGAUUAUAUGUUAAGUACAGUUCUGUGUAUUACAUAAACUAAAUUAUAUUUCAGGUCUUUCAGAAUUAUCAUUAACACCCUGUGGUAUCUGUCAUAAACUACUUGUCAGCCCACAUCUGAGGUAAUUUUAUCUGCUUAUCUGCCUACUCAUCUGGCUGCAAUGUGGGCUUCUCUGGAGCAUGAUAUAUUGAGGGGCUUCCCAGUUACAUUUCAAGAGGCAAGAUCAGAGGCACCGAUUAAUGGAG